AGCAGCCGCGGUAAUUCCAGCUCCAAUAGCGUAUAUUAAAGUUGCUGCAGUUAAAAAGCUCGUAGUUGAAUUUCGGGACUAAUAUGUUGGUCGUGCCUCGGUACGUACUGGCAUUGUUGGUUUCUCCCUUCUGAAGAACCAUGAUGUCAUUAAUUUGGUGUCUUGGGGAAUCAGGACUGUUACUUUGAAAAAUUAGAGUGUUUAAAGCAGGCUCACGCUUGAAUACAUUAGCAUGGAAUAAUGAAAUAGGACGUUUGAUUCUAUUUUGUUGGUUUCUAGGAUCGACGUAAUGAUUAAUAGGGAUAGUUGGGGGCAUUAGUAUUCAAUUGUCAGAGGUGAAAUUCUUGGAUUUAUUGGAGACUAACUACUGCGAAAGCAUUUGCCAAGGAUGUUUUCAUUAAUCAAGAACGAAAGUUAGGGGAUCGAAGACGAUCAGAUACCGUCGUAGUCUUAACCAUAAACUAUGCCGACUAGGGAUCGGAUGAUGUUAUUUUGAUGACUC
rnacentral:rRNA from 1 species